AUACAGAUCACCCCAGGGAUCUUGUUAAGAUGCACAUUCUGUUUCAAUAGGUCCAGGGUGGGGCCUGAGAUUCUGAAAUUCUAACAAGCUCCCAGGUGAUCCCCCU
rnacentral:pre_miRNA from 1 species